UGGGGAAUCUUCCACAAUGGGCGCAAGCCUGAUGGAGCAACACCGCGUGAGUGAAGAAGGGUUUCGGCUCGUAAAGCUCUGUUGUUAAAGAAGAACACGUAUGAGAGUAACUGUUCAUACGUUGACGGUAUUUAACCAGAAAGUCACGGCUAACUACGUGCCAC
rnacentral:rRNA from 1 species